UACAGAGGUCUCAAGCGUUGUUCGGAUUCAUUGGGCGUAAAGGGUGCGUAGGCGGCGAGGUUAGUCGGAUGUGAAAUCCCAGGGCUCAACCCUGGAACUGCAUUCGAUACUGUCUUGCUAGAGUACUGGAGAGGAGACUGGAAUUUACGGUGUAGCAGUGAAAUGCGUAGAUAUCGUAAGGAAGACCAGUGGCGAAGGCGAGUCUCUGGACAGUUACUGACGCUGAGGCACGAAGGCCAGGGGAGCAAACGGG
rnacentral:rRNA from 1 species